CCUUCCUCCCGCGUGGCGACGGGGAGGAGCCCUAGUGCGCCGCCGCCAGAGGGUCCCCGGCCGGCGGGGCCUCCUCGUCGCCCAUCUCGGCGGGUUCGGCGCGGGCCGAAGCUUCUGGGCCGGGACGCCGCGGCGCGGUGCGCGGACGCAGCGAUGGCGCGGCGGCGCGACGGGCUGGGCGGUGGCGGGGCCCGCCUCUGUUCACGGGCGGCGCAGGCUGAGGGCGGCUUGGGCCGCCUCUGCUGUGGCCAUCGGCCGGUGGAGGUGGCGGGCUCGUCAUGGCGGCCGGGCGUGUGGCCUUCUCCUCCCGCGGGCAUGUGCCGACGGGAUUGCGGCAGCGCGCCGGUGUUGGAGCAGUUAUGGAUCCAGCUGCCUACGAUGAUUUGCUGUUAGUUGGUUCACUGUAUCAUGGGUUCAACAGAGGGAGGCACCUGCGUCUCUCAGCUACUCAGGGGUUUGAAGAGAGACGGUGGUUAAAUAACGAAGAAACCAGUGCUAUGAUGCUCAACCCGCAAAUCUUCAGAAACCCACAUGGUGUGUUACUCGAUGAUCAGGCAUUUACUGUGGACUGUUAUUCCCUGCUGGUUGAUACGGAUGAGUAUGAUGGAAUGAUGGCACAUUCUGGCCCCAGAGCUCAGCAGCAGCAGUUCUGGCCUUACUAUGGUUCAGUUGAUCAUCAUAAUCCCAUGAAGCGGGAAUAUUUUGCUGGCAUAAGCAAGAAUCAUGCUGCACACAGAGGCUCUGAUAAUGAAGAAAUCAUCUGCCAGAAGUAUGAAGUGAAAGGUGCAUACAGGUGCCGCCGGCGAACAAUCCUGCCAGAUAACCUUUUUGCUGUAACCGGCAUUCACCCCCCUGUCCCUAAUAUGAUGGUACUGCCAUACCAGCUUACUCCAGAUGCUCUUGUAGCGAACCGUCUGCACCAGGCUGACCUAAUGGCAAUUCGUGUCCAGCAGCGAAGAGAUGAGCUGGGCGAGGGUUUGAUACCUCUGUACGGCGGCCCUGCAAGGCCACCUGGUCUCCUCUAGUGAAAAGAACUACCAAGCGAGGAAGAACGUGCAUGCAGAGUCUUAACGGUCCAUUUAUCAGCCCAAGAGGACGGGAAAGAAGAAGUGUGGCUACUACAUGUAGAGGCAGUAGUUCCUGGAACCGGAGAAUAGAGUGGACAAACGUGCUGAGAUUGAUGAGUGGGUCAUCACCCUGACCUUCCCACACGGCGAGUGUCUAUCCCGUGGGAAGCAUAUCGCCUGGCGUCUAUGCUUUCCUUCCCACUGAGAUGGUAACGAAGUUCCUUCAUAAUCCAGGCCGACUUCCUCCUUGCAUCUUCAAGAGAGGCUAUUCUGUUUGACAGUCCGUGGAACAAGGGGAUUCUGGACUAUAUCCCAAGUGCUUUCCUGAAAGCUUUUGUCGCACUUGUGAAGUCUACGCUGAUGCACCAGCAAUGUCCUUUGCCUUCUAUGUUUAACUUCCUGCUGGUCAAUCCUUCACUAAUCCCACUACUUGAGCCAGUUAGGCCUGGCAUCAAAAACAAGAUUCUUGUCGAGGAUAUAGUACCAUGUGAGUCUCAUAGUUCACAGAAAAUAUUUUGCAAACCUGGUGAGGUUGGACGGCUGAAACCGGCCUUUUGGAGUAUUCUCAGCAAGGCAUGGGAAUCUGGAGUUGACCUGAAGAAUCUCUCAACUCAUGGCAGCUACAUCCUCAGCUCUCAUUUUGACAAGUCCACGUAUAAUACCGUGCUAUCAUUUCUUGGUGUUAAAAGUGUGAGCACCGAGUGGUACGUCAAAUGCAUCGAGGGCUCUAAUCUUGUCAAGGAGGUAAAUGAACAGAUUUAUCUCAAGGUUUUAUCCUUUGUCGCCAACAAUUGGCAGAACUGUUUCUCCGGUACAAAAAUGAUGUCUAUUCCCCUGCUGAAGUAUGUUGAUCGGAACAAUGCUAUCUCUUUCUGGAGCAUUCCUAGAGCUACUCAACUGAGUGACAGAUUGUGCAUUGCAUCUGAGAAGAAGUGCAUACCUAGCUCUUGGUUUUCCUGAAGACACAAUUGCUGGCUUCAGACAUUCCAUUCAUACACCCUCCAGAUGCAAGCUUUCCUACAGUCUCAUCGCCUCUAACCGUUGACAAUGCAAUCUUGCUUUUGCAAUGGAUACAGAGUCUCAAGUCAAGAAGGUACAAUUACCGGCUAAAUUUCUGGCUUGUGUAAAACAGGGAAGUUGGCUUAGGACAUCAGUUGGGUACAAGCCACCAAAUCAAUCAUUUCUGUCCAGUUCUGAGUGGGGAGUUCUUUUGCAAAGUGGCUCCUCGUUUGUUGAUAUACCGAUGAUUGACCAAAAGUUCUAUCAAAACAAGCUGCAUUUGUACAGGGAGGAACUCAAGGUGAUCGGAGUUAGAUUUGAAUUUCAGGAGGCAUCAGCGUACAUCGGCAGCCGCCUCAUGUCUAUGGCUGCAAGCAAUACGCUGAUCAGAGAGAAUGUGUAUUCACUCCUUUGGCUGAUUCGGUUUCUUCGAGAGAAAGUUCUAUCUCCAAGCGAACUCAUCAACAGUGUCAAAGAUGGACAGUGGAUGAAGAGUACUCUCGGCUACAGGUCUCCAGUUGGGUGUAUUAUCUAUGAUUCAGACUGGGCAGUUGCAUCCUGUAUCAGUAGCCAGCCAUUCCUUGAUGUCAAGUUCUAUGGCGAGGACAUCCUUACCUACAAACCAGAGCUCCAGUUGCUUGGUGUUCUUGUUGUAUUUGAAGACAGCUACAAAUGUGUGAUUGAUAAUUUCAAGUUCAGUUCGGCUGCUAUUACUCCUGAGGCUACUGUACUAAUCCUCAAAUGUAUCCGGCAUGUGAGCUCAUGUGACACCUUCAUAAGAAAGCUCAAAGAUUUGAAAUGGGUGAAGACCAGUGUGGGGUUCCGUGCUCCUAAUGAAUCUUUUCUUGUGGAUCCUCGAUGGGAGUGCCUUCUAAAGGUCUUUGAUGGGGUUCCUGUAGUUGAUUUCAGAUUUUAUGGGAGUAAGAUUAGUCCCUACAAAGAAGAGUUGGAGAAGACAGGGUUGAUAACAAAUUUGAAGGCGGCAUCAAAGGCUAUAGCUCACUUGUUUGAGCAGAUGGUUCUGAACUCAUCACUUCCAAAGGCGAGUGUCCUAGCCCUGCUAGCAUGUUAUCGGCAGCUGAAAACACAGGGUGCACUUCCCGUCGAGCUCUUGAGUUGCAUGCUGAAUGAGAAGUGGUUGUGCACAUCGUUGGGUUUCAGAUCCCCCAAAGAUGCAAUCUUGUUUAAUGCAGAAUGGAAGUCUCUAUCAUCAGUAGCAAACUUACCUUUCAUAGAUGAUGGUGACUCUAACCACGGUUUAAGCAAGGAAAUACAUGGUUAUAAAGAUGAGCUCAAGUUGCUUGGUGUUACAACUGAAGUGAAAGCUGGUGCUAGGUUUGUCAUCAAUGGCAUCAACAUUCCCAAGGAUCCUUUACACAUGUCUGCGGCUACUGUCUUGUCGUUGCUCGGGUCCAUUCAGAGCUGGUUAGGUUCUUCAAGUAACUUCCCAAAGGGCUUUCUAGAGAAAAUCAAAGGCUGCAGUUGGUUGAGGACAAAAGUGGGGUUCCGAUGUCCUGAUGAGUCGAUCCUGUUUGAUCCAAAGAAUUCUUCCAUUCGCAUAGAAGAUGGCCCUUUCAUUGAUGAAGCAUUCUAUGGCUCGGAGAUAGCCUCAUUCAGAGACGCCCUUGCGGCAAUCGGAGUAUCUGUGGAUGUUAGACACGGACAUGAGCUUGUGGCUCGGCAUCUGAAAAGCCACAAAAACAGGGCUACUAUUUCUCGUAUUUACACGUACCUUAAGGAGUGCAAUUGGGAGCCUGCAAACAAGACGAGUAAUUGGAUCUGGAUACCAAAUAAAAAGAAAAGUGGAGAGUGGGUGAGCCCUCUGGGUUGUGUUCUUCAUGAUAAGGACAACCUUUUCAGCCUGCAGCUGCAUGUCUUGGACAAAUAUUAUGACAAGAAGUUGCUGGACUUCUUUUCACAUGUUUUUGGUGUGAGGAAUGGUCCUAGCGCUGAAGAUCAUUGCAAACUCUAUGGAGCACAUGGGAGAGCUCUGUCGAUGCGCUAUCUGUAGCUGACUGCUCUGCUUUCUGGCAGUUCAUUGCUAAGAACUGGAGCAAAAACAUGGAGAAGCUUCUUUCUGCGUGUGUCAAGGUUCCAGUUUGUACCGACGGAACUAUGGUUCUGUCAAAGAAAGAGGAUGUGUUUAUUCCUGAUGAUCUACUUCUCAAGGAUUUGUUCGACAAGCUUCCUAACCGGUCAUUGUUCAUAUGGUAUCCAUCUUCAAGCCUGCCUUCCAUGUCUCGAGCAAAGCUGAACAACAUCUACGGUAGCAUUGGAGUCCAGGCAAUAUCCAAAGCUGUUGGGAAGAAUGAUUCACUCACGUUGGAAAAUGUCAGUCCAACAAAAGCUGCUCGGGGUAAGGUGAUCAAUGUUGGUAUGAUGAAACUGGUCCUUGCUUUUCUUUCCGAUCCUGCUCUUGACAUUUCUGCUGAAGAGCGGCACAAGAUAGUUUCCUGCCUUCUCGAUGUGACGGUGCUAGAGACCAGUGAGCCAAUCACGGUGGGAUACAGCGUGAAGCUAUCCUCUGGGGCCGUUUUGGAUGUGAAGGCCACACGGAAGCUCCGGUGGGAGAGGGAGAGCUCAAAACUCUACAUGCAGAAAAGCAAGCGUGCACCAGGCUACAAGGAGAAGUUGGAGUUCGCGACGAACUUUGCGGAUGAGAUAUCCCAGGGGCUGCUCUUCGAGAAGGCAGAUCAGAUCCCUUUGCUCGCGGAGCUCAUUAAAAUCGGUAGCUUGAUGGGCUUCCACGCUGCCGCUGUCGAGUACCUUCUGAAAUCAAAAAAUCUGCAGCUGUUCCCUGAAGACGAAGAAUUCCUUAACACUGCAUCGCUAGGUCGUAGCAGGAACCGUUAGCGAUCUCUGGAGUUGCUCUUGCGCAUGCCGACACAUGGAUUGAAGUGGUUACUUGCUGAUGGCCAGGUCUGCAGGGGCUUAAUUGGUGCUUAAAUCUGGAGGGUCCAACAAUGCGCCUGCUCGAUUAUCUUGUGCAUACGUUUUGUCGCGAUUACUAGCUGUGAACUUUUGUUUUGGCUUUCUCCCUUUAUGAACCGGAACUUGUCUGUGUUUUUCAGUGUGAAAUGGCACUCGGUAUGUACCGGUGCGUUAUCCUUUCAUGUCUUGUGACCAUCAUCUAUUAUAUCUUGUUAUUUAGCAUGAA